rnacentral:sRNA from 1 species
UUGUCCUGAUCUCUUUAAUAAUCUUUCCUUGGGUGUCAGGAAACCAUAUUCUUUUCGAUUUGUCUUAUGACAGGAUCACACUUGCAGCUAAGGCUGCCUAAAACCGUGCAGCCCAGUCUGGCCCUCAAGCUAGCCUCAACCCCCUGAGGUUGCAGAAAGAAGGUACCAGAUCUGACUCUCGGUGUUCUGUAACUCUGUGAUAAGCACGUGCACCUAUACGGUGAGUGCUUGGGAGGCUGAGGCAGGAGGAUGCUCCUGGACAUCUAACAAGACUUAUUUCAAGAAAGAGAAAAAACAAACAAACAAACAAACAAACAAAAAAAAAAACAAAAGAAUUCCUGGAAAGAAGUGAAUCCUGAGGUUCAGGGCUCUGAAAUCUACGAACAGGUUGAAGCUCUUUUGGUCUGCGUAUUCAGAUUUUCUAAAUUUCAUAUCUCCAUGUAGACAACUGGAUAAUCAUCGCUUCUACCCACAACUGCUAUUUGCUGACUGUUCAUCAGUGUCUGGCAUGGUGGUCUUCUACAUUAUGCCAACAUUCAACCGUCACCAUCUCCUUUCAUCUUCUCGGCGUUAAAAGUUCACGCCAUUAUUUUUUUUUCAGAGUAAAAGAAACCGAGGUUAGGCUUGUGUGACACAAGUUGCUGAACGUGACGAGCUGCUGAGUGGCGGGAGUGGGAUUUGAUCCCGGGUCUGGAGGGAGAUCCAUCAAUCCAGCUUGUCAAGCCACUCGCCCCUUUACUUGGAUUGACAGGAUUUACUCUGAGCAGUCUGAGCAGAUUUGUCUGAGCAGUGAACGAUGAUGCAGCAGUACCUGGGUGGACGGAGAGCGUAGUGUGGCCCUGCUCUGCGCUAGGCUGGAGUUCACAUCAGACAGACCUGCCUAUCUCCAGAGCUUCUGGUAAAGCCUGGCCUUCCUGGGCCUGGACACAGUGAGGGACAUGGAGAGAUUUCCAAGAUCAGAAUUAUAAGUCGAAUCUGUCCAGACGUCUGCACACGCCGGUGUUUACACUGGGGAACAACCUCAGAGAACCUUGCUACUUCUCAGUGGGCUGCAGGAUCACAUCGAUUUGUGAGGUGAGAAACAAGGGCAGGGGCAGCAAGAUGAAGUGCCCGACGCCAUGCAGAGCUAGGACUUGACCCCAGACCCUGCUGCUCCAAUUUGCUUUCUCUCUACCAGACCCGUGAGUUCCCAGGGUGACUUGGACAGGCCUGGGAAGGAACUGAAGGGAAGAGGAAGGGAGACAGCCAGCCUCUGUCCUCUCUAUGUGCUCUUGCUAAUUUGUAUCAGGAUUCCGUGUAAGAAUAAUUCGAAACAAGGUUUCCAUUGCCAAUAAAGUAGUUUUGGAGGACCCAAGUUAUUUCUUCUUCCCUGGAACUAAGGUCUAAGCAUUCCCUCCCGGCCCUUAAUAGGUCUCCUAUUCUAGGAGGAACAAGAAGAGGCAUUUGGGAGAAUGUUAUCAGUUGCGGCAGGGAAACACACAGUCCUGGAGACACAAGCAAAAGAAGUGUGUGUGUGUGUGUGUGUGUGUGUGUGUGUGUGUGUACACAUGAACCACGUGCAUGAGAAGAGGUCAGAGGAUAACUUGCAAGAGUCGGUCCUCUGCUUUACCUUGUGUGUCCCAGAGAUCGAACUCAGGUCCUCAGGCUUGGCAGGGAACACCUUUACCCACUCAGUGGUCUCCCUGGCCCUUGCCAAAUUCUUAACCUCAGUCACCCAUCUAUAAAAACCAAGACUUGGCUGAGAUAAUUCUGGUUUGGCUUAUGAUACUUGUACCUCCCAUGUGAUUAAUUCAGGAGAUCCUAGAUAAGGGAUCCUAAACUGUCUGCAAAUGUGUGUGUGUGUGUGUGUGUGUGUGUGUGUGUGUGUGUGUACGUACCUUUGGAAUGGUUUUGUCUAUAGUUUUUGUGCUAUUGACUCCUGCAAGUUGUCUCUGGCUUCCACAUCGGUUGUGGCACCUGCUCACCUCGUCAUAAAUAUAUAAAAUAAUAAAUAUAAUUGUAAUAAUAAAUAUGACAAUACUAAGAAUGUCACGAAUAAUAGUAGUUCCCUUGUCUGCCCCCAAAGAAAAGUCCUAGGAUUUGAUUGGACCUGAAGGAAGAGGAAGGGCAAGGCUCUCCUUCACAAAUCACUCAAAGUCGCACAGGAGAAAUGAUCUUUAAUAUCUGACUUGUUUUCCGAUCCUAUCAAAGUGCCAGCAUUGACUAGAGAACAGGGAGGGGCUUGAGAGGUACAAA